UUUAAAGAGGGUAAAAUAGCCAAUAAUUUUAGUUUUUUUUUUAGCUAUUUCCAUCUACAAAUUAUUGUUAAGGGUAAUAUUGUCUUUGCACAGUCAACUAACGGUCAAUGUUAAAAUUAACUGACGGUAGGGGGUUUUUUACAAAUAAACCAAUUCUCGCCAUCUACUUGCAACAAGCCCAAACCUCAGGGGAGGUUUUUAAAAAUUACCCUUUGUGAUUGCUUUUAGUAGGGGUGUUCAGAAUUCAAUCCGAUCAGCUCAAUCUGUUUGAUCCGUAGAAAUUCGAUCCGUAAAAAAUCCGUUCCGUGGAUUGGUGGAUUGGAUUAGAUUGAAAAUUUGAUAUUCCGCAAUCGAUAGAUUAGAUAUGGAUCUACUUCUGUAAAUCUGUAAAAAAUCUGCGAAUCCGUAAAAAAAUAAAAAGUAUUUAUUUA
rnacentral:lncRNA from 1 species